rnacentral:rRNA from 1 species
UACGAAGGGGGCUAGCGUUGCUCGGAAUCACUGGGCGUAAAGGGUGCGUAGGCGGGUCUUUAAGUCAGGGGUGAAAUCCUGGAGCUCAACUCCAGAACUGCCUUUGAUACUGAGGAUCUUGAGUUCGGGAGAGGUGAGUGGAACUGCGAGUGUAGAGGUGAAAUUCGCAGAUAUUAGGAAGAACACCGGUGGCGAAGGCGACCAACUGGACCGAUAUUGACGCUGAGGCACGAAAGCGUGGGUAGCAAACAGG